UACGCACCGCCCGUCACACCAUGGGAGUCAGUUGCUCCAGAAACGGCUGCGCUAACCCGCAAGGGGGGCAGGUCUUUAAGGAGUGGCUGGUAACUGGGGUG
rnacentral:rRNA from 1 species